GCGUGGAUGAUGUGGAUUAAUUCGAUGCAACGCGAAAACCUUACCUACCCUUGACAUGCCAGGAACUUGCCAGAGAUGGCUUGGUGCCCGAAAGGGAGCCUGGACACAGGUGCUGCAUGGCUGUCGUCAGCUCGUGUCGUGAGAUGUUGGGUUAAGUCCCGCAACGAGCGCAACCCUUGUCAUUAGUUGCCAUCAUUCAGUUGGGCACUCUAAUGAGACUGCCGGUGACAAACCGGAGGAAGGUGGGGAUGACGUCAAGUCCUCAUGGCCCUUAUAGGUGGGGCUACACACGUCAUACAAUGGCUGGUACAAAGGGUUGCCAACCCGCGAGGGGGAGCCAAUCCCAUAAAGCCAGUCGUAGUCCGGAUCGCAGUCUGCAACUCGACUGCGUGAAGUCGGAAUCGCUAGUAAUCGUGGAUCAGCAUGUCACGGUGAAUACGUUCCCGGGUCUU
rnacentral:rRNA from 1 species